rnacentral:rRNA from 1 species
GACGAACGCUGGCGGCGUGCUUAACACAUGCAAGUCGAACGGAAAGGCCCUGCUUUUGUGGGGUGCUCGAGUGGCGAACGGGUGAGUAACACGUGAGUAACCUGCCCUUGACUUUGGGAUAACUUCAGGAAACUGGGGCUAAUCCCGGAUAGGAGCUCCUGCUGGAUGGUGGGGGUUGGAAAGUUUCGGCGGGUGGGGAUGGACUCGCGGCUUAUCAGCUUGUUGGUGGGGUAGUGGCUUACCAAGGCUUUGACGGGUAGCCGGCCUGAGAGGGGGACCGGCCACAUUGGGACUGAGAGACGGCCCAGACUCCUACGGGAGGCAGCAGUGGGGAAUAUUGCACAAUGGGCGGAAGCCUGAUGCAGCAACGCCGCGUGCGGGAUGACGGCCUUCGGGUUGUAAACCGCUUUCGCCUGUGACGAAGCGUGAGUGACGGUAAUGGGUAAAGAAGCACCGGCUAACUACGUG